UUAAUAGCAUUAUUCAUUUUGACGUUUAGCUGCAGAAGAAGCACCGGCUAACUCCGUGCCAGCAGCCGCGGUAAUACGGAGGGUGCGAGCGUUAAUCGGAAUUACUGGGCGUAAAGCGCAUGCAGGUGGUUUGUUAAGUCAGAUGUGAAAGCCCCGGGGCUCAACCUCGGAAUUGCAUUUGAAACUGGCAAACUAGAGUACUGUAGAGGGGGUAGAAUUUCAGGUGUAGCGGUGAAAUGCGUAGAGAUCUGAAGGAAUACCGGUGGCGAAGGCGGCCCCCCUGGACAGAUACUGACACUCAGAUGCGAAAGCGUGGGGAGCAAACAGGAUUAGAUACCCUGGUAG
rnacentral:rRNA from 1 species